rnacentral:rRNA from 1 species
GACGAACGCUGGCGGCGUGCUUAACACAUGCAAGUCGAACGGGCCUUGUCCCCUUUUUUUUUGGGGGUGGGGUUAGUGGCGAACGGGUGAGUAACACGUGAGUAACCUGCCCCUCACUUCUGGAUAACCGCUUGAAAGGGUGGCUAAUACGGGGUGUUCUGGCCUGCUCGCAUGGGUGGGUUUGGAAAGAUUCGACCGGUUUGGUUGUUGUGGUGGGGGAUGGGCUCGCGGCCUAUCAGCUUGUUGGUGGGGUGAUGGCCUGCCAAGGCUUUGACGGGUAGCCGGCCUGAGAGGGUGGGCGGUCACGCUGGGACUGAGACACGGCCCAGACUCCUACGGGAGGCAGCAGUGGGGAAUAUUGCACAAUGGGCGCAAGCCUGAUGCAGCGACGCCGCGUGAGGGAUGGAGGCCGUCGGGUUGUGAACCUCUUUCGCCAGUGAAGAAGGUCCUGCUCUUUGUGGUGGGGUUGACGGUAGCUGGGUUAAUGAAGCGCCGGCUAACUACGUG